rnacentral:rRNA from 2 species
AAACCAACAGGGAUUGCCUUAGUAACGGCGAGUGAAGCGGCAAAAGCUCAAAUUUGAAAUCUGGCACCUUCGGUGUCCGAGUUGUAAUUUGAAGAAGGUAACUUUGGAGUCAGCUCUUGUCUAUGUUCCUUGGAACAGGACGUCACAGAGGGUGAGAAUCCCGUGCGAUGAGAUGUCUGAUUCUAUGUAAAGUGCUUUCGAAGAGUCGAGUUGUUUGGGAAUGCAGCUCUAAGUGGGUGGUAAAUUCCAUCUAAAGCUAAAUAUUGGCGAGAGACCGAUAGCGAACAAGUACAGUGAUGGAAAGAUGAAAAGAACUUUGAAAAGAGAGUGAAAAAGUACGUGAAAUUGUUGAAAGGGAAGGGUUUGAGAUCAGACUUGGUAUUUUGUAUGUCUUGCUUUCGGGUGGGGCCUCUACAGUUUACUGGGCCAGCAUCGGUUUGGAUGGUAGGAUAAUGACAUUGGAAUGUGGCUCCACUUCGGUGGUGUGUUAUAGACUUUGUUGAUACUGCCUGUCUAGACCGAGGACUGCGUCUUUGACUAGGAUGCUGGCAUAAUGAUCCUAAACCGC